CCCCCGGAUUUCAGUGCCUUCAAUUACCAGCACAAGUUUCUCGGAGUGACGAACCGCCCUAAGUGCAACGCGUGGCCGACUUUUCUGGUUCCCACGGGCCACUCACAGUCGAAUCCCCACAUCCUGACCUCAUCACGGGCGCUCGGUGUGUGCUCUAGCACACCAGGCAUCGGUAUAGUCGCUAACUAGCCGAAGAAAUUUUUCCUGCUAGUGCCGAACCACCCUUACCGAGCUCCCAUUUCCGUUUGUCAGAUAAGUACCAAUCUCUUUAAACAAAAAAAAUCUAACACUUACUUUAGGGUAUCUUUGCUUCCAGAUCCCCCCGGCACCGCGUUACUAUGAGCCGACCAUCAGGUAAUGAUAAUGUUACACAUUGGACGUUACUGGAAACCUUACUUGCGCUGGACAAAUUGGAGUUUAUGUGAUGUACUCCGACACCCCCACCAUACCUGAGAUCUGGCAUGCAUCCUUCACCAAAUCUCCCGUCAGCCUACUCCAGGGUCAGUCUCAUUUCCCCCUCC